AACGAACGCUGGCGGCAGGCCUAACACAUGCAAGUCGAGCGCGCCUUUCGGGGUGAGCGGCGGACGGGUUAGUAACGCGUGGGAAUAUACCCUUUGGUACGGAAUAGCCUCUGGAAACGGAGAGUAAUACCGUAUGAGCCCUUCGGGGGAAAGAUUUAUCGCCAAAGGAUUAGCUCGCGUUAGAUUAGGUAGUUGGUGGGGUAAUGGCCUACCAAGCCUACGAUCUAUAGCUGGUUUUAGAGGAUGAUCAGCAACACUGGGACUGAGACACGGCCCAGACUCCUACGGGAGGCAGCAGUGGGGAAUCUUGGACAAUGGGGGCAACCCUGAUCCAGCCAUGCCGCGUGAGUGAAGAAGGCCCUAGGGUCGUAAAGCUCUUUCGCCUGUGAAGAUAAUGACGGUAGCAGGUAAAGAAACCCCGGCUAACUCCGUG
rnacentral:rRNA from 1 species